ACACAAACACAGCACACUCUCACACAUAUACAGCACAAACACACACGCACAUGUGUGUGUGUGUGUGUGUUUGUGCUGUAUAUGUGUGAGAGUGUGCUGUGCUUGUGUG